rnacentral:rRNA from 1 species
GGUGUAUUUAUUAGAUAAAAAACCAAUGCCCUUCGGGGCUCCUUGGUGAUUCAUAAUAACUUAACGAAUCGCAUGGCCUUGCGCCGGCGAUGGUUCAUUCAAAUUUCUGCCCUAUCAACUUUCGAUGGUAGGAUAGUGGCCUACCAUGGUGGCAACGGGUAACGGGGAAUUAGGGUUCGAUUCCGGAGAGGGAGCCUGAGAAACGGCUACCACAUCCAAGGAAGGCAGCAGGCGCGCAAAUUACCCAAUCCCGAUCCGGGGAGGUAGUGACAAUAAAUACUGAUAUAGGGCUCUUUUGGGUCUUAUAAUUGGAAUGAGUACAAUCUAAAUCCCUUAACGAGGAACAAUUGGAGGGCAAGUCUGGUGCCAGCAGCCGCGGUAAUUCCAGCUCCAAUAGCGUAUAUUAAAGUUGUUGCAGUUAAAAAGCUCGUAGUUGAACCUUGGGCCCGUCCUGCCGGUCCGCCUCACCGCGAGUACUGGUCCGGAUGGGCCUUUCUUUCUGGGGAAUCCCAUGGCCUUCACUGGCUGUGGCGGGGAACCAGGACUUUUAC